rnacentral:lncRNA from 1 species
CGAACCACCAGAGUUUGCUGAGACAGAAGCGCCAGGUGGCACUGGUGGCAAUAGACCCUGUAGUGUGGCUCACUUAUUCCCACGGGAGCCUGUACACAGUGUACUAAUUGGCUACGCUCGCGAUGGAGGGGUGACUUCCUGCGCAUCAGUUUCUCGAGCUCUGAUUGGUUACCAGCCAAGGCGAAGCCCUGCCAGUUACCUAGGAUCUGUUUCCUGAGUGGAGAGGCCUGCGGAACAGGGUGGGAACUUAGCUCAACGCCCAAGGUCUCUCCGCUGUGCUUGCACUGCUGCCCACAGUGCCACUGAGGUCUAUUGCAGAGAGGUGACAGAAUCACAUUUUAGAAGCUACAAAGGAGUCCUAAAUGGACUGACUGAAGCCCUGGAGAAGGACAAAAUCGCUCAGGAGAGACUAUAAGGUAAGAAGGAAAGCAUAUUUAUUUGUUUGUACAUUUGUUUGUUUUUCACUAGAAAAACUCAUUCAUUUCUAAUGCUUUUAAUUAAAAUACAAUUACAUCAUUUACACUUCCCAAGUACACACACACUCCAUUAUUCUCUCUCAAAUUCAUGGUCUCUCUCAUUUCUUUAAUUAUAAUAUUUUGGGUUUUUUUUGUUGUUUUUUGUUUUUUUGUUUUUUUUAAACAAGUUGUUACUUUGCAGUUCAAACUGGCUUAAAAAUACUCUAGGUAGACCAGGCUGACCUAAAACUUAUGCCUCAGCCUUCCUAGUGCUGGAAUUUCAGGCUACCAAGCCUAAAGAUGCACCUGUAGAGGAGACAGAGAAGGGGUGGCCAGAGGGGAGUGGUGGGGAGAGCAAGAAGAGGGGAGCAGUUUGGAAGUCAGACAAGAGACUGUUUUGAAAAACAAAUGGUCAAAUGCUGCUGGAUGCUACAAAAGUCCAGAAAAGUAGGAAUUGAAACUACUCAUUAGCUCUGAUAGCAGGGAAGUUGCCUUUAUUGAGAGUUGUGAAAUAGAAGAGGAAGGAGAAUCUGCAUGGAUCAGCUAAGAGGAUAGAACAAAGGAGACAGAGGGGAAGAGCAGUGAUAUCAGAAAUGCAGAAAAAGAGAGGUGGGUGCAACUGUUUAAGGCAUAAAUGUGAAUGUGACCUCACUUGAUUAUCUUUAUUGCUCUUUAUAGAUUAUGUGUAGGGUGGGGA